CAUUACAGAUUGGUCAAAUAAACAGCCUACAAGGUCUGGAGAAAUACAACGGCCCACAUAACCUGCGUGUGGUAAACAAUUCACCGACUGGUUUCAGACUAGAAUGGGACCUGCCUAAACGGGAAUCCUGCUAUGGAAGGGCGGACAUUCUGAUAAUUUUGUCGCACAGGAACGCAAAUGGCCAAGAAGUCCUGACCACGUUCUAUACGCGGGGCACAAGCACGUUUUUUCGACAUUCUGGGUCUCGACCCGGUGACUGAGUAUAAUCUUGGGCUGAACAUUCAAUCACCAGGAGGCAAUGUUCAGGAAACGGAAUUAGCAGUUACCACAAGA